ACCCCCCCCACCCCUUUUUGUAGGUGGUGUUCCCACCACAUAGUACUGGGCUUCAGGAGUCUCAGUGCCACCAUCAACUCCCUGCAGCAGGUGGUGUCUCCACCGCAGGGUGUGGAGUCUCAGGUGGAGCGUCGCUGCAAGCAUCAACCUCCCCUGGGUCAGGUGGCUUUCCCAACUCGGGUAGGAGAGGUUCUGCUGCAGGGCCCACACAUGCUCUGUGGACAUCAAUGAUCUUAGAGGUACUGGAUUCCCUGGUCAGUCCAGCGCUGUUGUGGUCAACAACACCUGAAGGAGGAAUGACACGAACACAAAAGAGAGCACACAGCUCAGGAACUGAGUCAAACUCCAGAGAAGGAUAUUGAUGAGCUUUUGGAUCAGAAAGGUGCAAGAUCAUCCUGCUGAUAGCAGGGUCCUGGAACUCAAGACUGACGAGGUCAUUUAUAGAAAAGGCAAGUUGAACAGACACAAACCCAUCAGAUGGUUGAAAGAUGGACGCAUCAUCGGGGGCUACAAGGGUUUGAGGGACCAUGGGGUGCCCACAUCUUUACCUUGAGUGGCAAGAGGGUCUGUCAAGUUGUUGAGAUAACCGUUAAGGAAGUUCUCUGGCAGAAGUCGAGUUUCAAAGCUGAGUUUCUGGCCAUCAAUGUAGCUGGAACGGUGUUUACCUGCCCACAUGGUGGAAAGAGAAAGAUUAUUGCAAUCAGGAUAUCUUAACAAGUUGUUGUUUGUUUCGCUCGACUACAGUGGUAGGAGCCUCAGCUUCGUUAGAGAAAUCAACAGAAUGUGACUGAUGAAAGCUGAAUCUGUGGUGGCAAAGGUUCUGGGCUAGGUUGUGAACAUGUUGUUCCCCCCGGCUCCUACCAACCGUGAGACAGUAGAGGUCAGGAGGCAGAACGAUGGGCAGAGGUUCUUCAACCCCUGACCAGAGUUUCCACAUCAAUGAAAGCAUCAAUGCACCUCAGAAAGUCCAUGCCAAGGGUGAAAGGUAUCCUUGCAUGCUCGGAGAUGUACACGGGAUGUGUCAGAGUCAUGGGGACAAUCGAGAAGUGGAGGGCAGACCUAGAAGACCAGAUUAAGUCAUGAGAGUAAGUCUUGACAGUUACAGAACAUGGAACAAGUUCUGGGGUUCUGACCCCCGCUCCACAAGAUAUGCAGAUGCGGUCGAACAUCGCUCGAGUUACAAGUGUAAAAUUUGAACCUGUGUCAAGAAGGGCGUUGCAGGAUAGAUUCUGGGUCAGUUUGACCGACACCAGAGAUUUUCCAGCUUUCUCCUCGGGCACUAGGUGUCCCAAGAACAUUUUGGCGGACUCGACGACAGGGUGGACCAAUAUUUUGUCCAUUGCGGAUGAACCGGUCUCCAGUGUAGCAGGAACAGGUGGUCCUGUUUCCUGAAAGAGAAAAUCAAAAGGAUUAUCCUCUGUUUGCAGAAUUUGUUCUGGAAGCAGAUCAACAGCAGAAAGAUUUAAUUCUUGUACAACAUCAGGAUCUUGUUCAAUUACGUCCAGCGUGUUACUCAGAGAUGAGACAGUUUCUGUCUUUUUUUGGAAUUUCUGGUUCAGAGUGUAACUCUGCCGCUGCAUGUCAACUUUCCUUUCCUCUGCCAUUCCAAUGAGGAAAGAAAGCACAUAGUUAUGCUAGUAUGACAUUGUGAUGAUGCACUAGAAACCUUAUUUUGAGGAAUAAGAAAUUAGAGAGAAAGAAAGAAAAGCUUUGAGCUUUUUAUGAGCUGGGUGAAAACCCUGCCAGUAGAUGGAAGCACCGGGCUAAAGGAACGUGAUUAAUGGAGGCGAGGCAUGGUUGCGUCACUCCCUUUAAUCAGAUCCAAAGGCGAACUGAGCUGUUUUAGCUGAGCUCUGGUUUUUUGGCUAAAAACAGGGCGGUUUUAAGAGCCAAAAUGUUUACCCAAAGGGAUUUUAAUGGAGACGCAGGCGUCUGCGGCGGGUUUCCCCGCUCAGUGCUGACUUAUCAGCUCCUAUCUCCCGCAUGACGAAGCUGUUUAGCUCGUCGGCAAGGCCUAGAUUUGAACAGAAUCAGGACUUUAUAGUUUAGUUAACGUCCAAUGGAACAACCUCUUUGACUGCAAUGGACCUGUGCACUAGUUCUCGUCUUAGGCCGGGUUUUAGCGUAUAUUAUGCGGUGUGCAGCCGCUAGCCGCUAUUGUGGCUUCGGACGGUAGCAGGCUGUGCUAGUCACUAAGCUAAAUGGGUGAAAGUGCGCGCAUUCAGUGAUGUGCCGAGUUUGAUCACGAUCACUCUUCAGACCACAGUCUGGUUGUUCCGAAAGCUCAUAAGAGUCCGGGUAUUUUACCGGAAAAAGUGUUAUUUAACAGUUGAUCAGACUGUCUAGCGAUUAGCUUUGUGCUAACGUGAAGAGAGAACGAAUUCUCUGACUCAGAAGUGACACAAUGUAUAUAGACAAGGUGACAAAUAAUGCAUAAACACACAUUCACUUACUUUUUAGCAAUUAGAAUGUAAUUUGAAAUGCUCGCUUUUUAAAGACUCUGCUGAUUUUACUGUGUUUCGGACAACUGGAAGUUUAUGCCGGAAGCCGGUGUUACAGUAAAAAGCUUCCCUCCCUGGCGUUCCGGAGGAAGAACAUUAAAGAGACACAGCUCCCCUGUACCAAAUGUGCUUUCUGCCAUUUUCCAUGAACAGUAAUGUUUUCUCAGCUUUUUUUGCGUUUAAUGCACAGGGCUUGGAGCACAAGACCAGCACAAGGAAUUGGUAGGCCUGAUCUCAACCUGAAUUUUUUCUUUGGAGUUUCCUUUGUGCUGCUGGGUACACUCUGCUGCACAUCCACAUGUUCUUCUGUAUCAUCAGCUUUUGUGUCAUCACGUACAAUAUAUUUAUCAGCUUUUUCCGCGCGUCUCUUAUCAAUAAAACGUCUGUAGCAGGUGGGUGAAAGCCAGCGUCUUCGGGAAUUUUGUCAAUUUCUAUAUUUCUGUACUGUUCAUACAGUUCAGCCAAUGCUCGACUCCUACCAUGCAAUCCACGCCAUUUUGUGGCGGCUUCCCUCUGGGUAUUUCAUCGAGUAAACAUGAAAUCCAGUACCUGUUCAUGCUUCAAAGAAGCUAUAUGCAUGUAGCACAGUUUUCUUACUCGUUUAGUCGUUUUUGUUCAAUUUUCCAGUGAUUUAUCAUUGUCCUCCCUGGUACGUUCUGAAUCCAUGUUGUCCGCCAUGUUGGAAUGUGUUUACUGAAUGCGCGCAUCGCAUUGAUCUAAAACAAUCAUGUGAGAGCCACUUCACUACUUUCUCAUUACGUUCUGAACAAACUAGUCUCGAACUAAAACAACGAUCGUAAAAAAAAAUGCGAGACUUUCAGAGGAGGAACUUUACUUUUGAAAUCGGUACGAAUGUACUAAUUUUAUGAAGCAAAGAGUGAGAAGCCACAAGACCUUGGAACGAGACUCAAUUUCUAGAGCAAGAACUGCCCCCUCCAGCUGCUUUGCUUCAAUUUCAAUUUCGGGUUCAAGAGGUUAAUAUUACGUAAAUGGAAAUAGGCAGAGCAGGUGAUGUUAUUUAUAUGAGCUGAGAAGUAGAGAGGCCUGUUGGGUAAUUUCUAAUAUUACUCCCAUAUUUCCUCAAAGAAAUACUAAGCACACCCAGAGGGAUUAGAUUCAUAAUUUGGUAAAUUGUAAACAACCCUUAAACAGACAAUGAACACAUACUCUGCAAAGCGUGAUACUUUGCAGAGGGUGAGAAUCAAACACACCAGACAAGAGCUAGUUUCCUCUCACACUGAGCUGAGAACUCUGGGGAGCAUUUAUUGGCACAAACACACCCAUACAUUCCUCAAAAACUCCCUUGGUCUUAGGAGUCCACAGGAGACAAAAGGGAUUCUUCAGAUAAUAACUGAAUGAGCCUCUUGGCCUGGGCAGGACAAAGAGUUGUACCUGCCUAAGCUCCAAGCCAAGGCAGGACCCCCUGGUUUGGCUGGUUUGGCCUCCAUAUAGUAGAACACAAGUACCUGAAGCAAACAUUCAAAGGUAAAUAAGGGUGAGGUAAGGCACCUCAAGCAGAAAGGAGGUGACUGUUUGACAAUCAGGUUUUACCUAACAAUCCCCCCUGUUCAAACGGAGUUCACCUCAAAUAAUUAUUACAAUGAAGAAUAACACAAUCUGAGUGGAUAACAAGAACAUCAAACAACAAUGGUUACAGAAACUGCAAUUUACAUUGUUGAAAUCAUAAUUAAACCAACUUUAUCAGGCAAUAUAUUCAUCUUCUGCAAGCUCCUCUUUCUGUCUCGGGAGAGUAUAUUGAACCAAAGCAUUCGUCAUCAGUUUGCUUACCAUAUUCUUCAAACAUGGGAGUACACAGCCUAGAACUAAGCAACUCAUGACCAGGAUAACAAUAACAGGUUCGAGAAACUUUAACAAGAGCUGAUACCAGUUACCAGACACCAGCUAACUCAUAAAACUCCAGGAUCCGCCAGUCAAUUUGUUGGAUUUCAGGAAGUUGCUAGAGGGAGAAAGUUAAUGCAAAAUGUCAAUGUACACAGCUCUAAUUGUGGCAGAGCUGAGGUCAAAAGGGCUUGUACAUGGACUGGAAAGCGUUGUUUGAGCAAAACAAUGCCUUCGUCAGGAUGGUGUUGAACUUUCGCCGAGAUGAAACAGAAAGGGCAAAAGGUUAUCACAGACCCAGACUCUCUUACUUUAGCUCAAAUGUCCUCGUAGGGACGCCCGUCCUCAUGUGACAUGAGGCGGGGGCAGGGAGCCAAUCUGCACUUUGGGCCACACCAGUUGUGUGGCAGGAGAGAGAACCAGUCUGAGCAAAAGAUGUGUGUGUCAGCAACUUUGCUGAUGUUACAGCAACGCAGGAUCCAGUGACGGUUGGGACGGUGAGGGGGAUGUCUCUUUGGACAAGGAGCCAUGAAACCAGACGGGAGAUUUGGGGUACUGGAUCUUGACAUCGUUGGAGGCAGGUCACAGCGUUGUGUGAACGGACCCAGGAGGGGUCUCAAUUACCAGAUGUUGUUUCCGUUGUUUCUCCCAACUGCUGCUGAUUCCUCUCGUUCCAUCAGAUGCUGAGGAGUGGUUUCAGGGCAAAGUGCGAUCCCCAAACAUCAGCAGCGUCAUGGUGGAUGGGCCCUGCAAGCUUAAGGCAGAUCAUUUACUUAUCUGCCAUCCUCGGCGUGCCCGCAUGCGUUCCAUCAGAGGAUGGUCAGUCGUAGUGGCCCUCUCAGCAGUAUGCAGCAGCAGGAGGGAUAAGAUGAGUGACCUUGACGCCUCAUCUUGGUAGAAGCAUGUGCAUCCCCAAUGCAGGGCCGGCUUUGCCGACAGGCGACACAGGCGGCCGCCUGGGGCGCCAUCUGAUGGAUAGGGCGCAAAAUUAAAAAAAAGUUUAUUAAAUUUAUGUUUGUAAUAUGAAAUGCACUCUAAAUACUCAAAAUUCCCCUUUGAAAUGACAGGAAAUUAAAACAUCAAUAUUUAAAUUCUAAUGAUCUGGCUGCAUGACGAGCUCCCGCUUGGGCCACCGCUCCGAUGCAUUUGACCGUUAAGGGUGCCGUAGAUCACGUGUGUGGGUAGCGCUGUAGAAGGACAUCCUGUUGUCGUCGCGUUUAAACUUUUGAUAUUUUACGAUGAAAAGAACACCUAAGCCAUCAGGAUCAGCAUUCCCAAAGCGAAGGAAGGAGGAAGAAUAAAAACGGGCCCAAAGCAGAGGUAUGUAGACUUUAUAAAUUUGGCAAAGGAACUUUUAGCGUUACAAUUUUAGCUAACUGCCUCUCCUGCCACGCACAGUCCACGGACGGACCCUCGCUAGCUGUUUACAUUCACAAUACAGUAUCUCAUAACUUUAACCAAUUAAUUUUACUUUUGAAUCGUCGUGUCCAGAUGCAGUGAGACAAUAUCUGCAGCCACGACAGGCACCUGUUGACACCACGGGGGCGGGACUGUCUUCUACACCUGUUGAGCCUCACUGUGAUGAUGAAGAAUCGUCUUCUAUCCAGGCAUCACGCAGCAGCAGCACAUUUACUGAGCUACAAUCUCAGCAUCUAGAACCAGAAGAAGAACCCAACACCAGCAGACUCAGUGCUCCAAUCCAACAGCCUGAAGAGACAUCAUCAUCAGCUUCAACAGAUGUCUGUGAACAUGCAUGAGCUGCUGGCCCCAUGGAUCCUGCUGACUGGCCACAGCAGUUGAACAAAAUGGAAAGUAGAACUUUCUUUAUGAUGACACUGAUAUUUGAGUUUUGAUUUUUUGCACCCCCCCCCCC